AUGAGAGAUGGACCAGCAAACAAAAGAUGGCAAUGCAGGCUGGUGGAUGUUUUCUCAGAAGAACUAUGGACUGUGGAUUGGUCACAGGGACUCAGAAAAGGAGGUCUGGAAACUUCCUGGCCAGUCCGGUGGUUAGGACUGUGUGCUUUCACAGCUAAGGGCCCGGGUUCAAUUCCUGGUCAGGGGUAUAAGAUCUCCACAGCAAAAGAAGAAAAGAAAAGAAAGCCUGGGAAGACUAUGGUGCUGGGAAUACAGACCUGAGUAAGAGAUUCCAGUCGUCUGAGCACCAGACUCCAAAUUCCUAUUGAAAUUGCCAAAAGAAUAUUAUAAUAAAAAGACACAUUAUAGCUGGAAACCAGAAAAAGGUGCCAUUCUCAUACAAUAAACUUCAAGGAAUUUCUCCAAGAUACAUUACAGGUGAGACUGGAUUGAGGGGAGGGUCUGCCUAGACAGGUGUUUCCUCUGCAUUCGUUUCACACAUUUUCUUCAGAUGAAAAACUACCCAGGGACCAGUGGAAGUCACCCCACUGGCGUGUCCUAAUUCAGAGCAGUGGGAGACUGGAGAUGAUGGGGGGGAACUCCCAGUUCUACCUGCGUCCCAGCACCAUGCACUGAGCAUAGCAAGAUUUUCAGGGGCACCACUCCAGCGCUCAUCUGUUUGGGGUUGUAUCCUAAACAUGGUGUGGGCAUCUGAGAAUGGCAGAGGAGACCCUAUAUUAAAGGUCGCUGCCCCAGUUAACAUGAAUUGUCAAAAGAAACAUGAAAAAACUCUCAGACAUAAGGAUGAAGCUCUUUAGUAUAGCAGCCUCUAGCUGCAGGUGCCUGCCCAUUCUCCAUAGACCCCCUGGAGCUUAAAUCUAGGAAAGUUAAAUGUACCAUCGUUCUAAGUGUUUCACUUCUUCCAUCACUGAGUCCUGGAGGAGCUGAAGUCCACAUAAGACUCCACCUUGGACUUCCUUAGUGGUACAGUGGAUAAGAAUCCAUUUGCCAGUGCAAAGGACACGGGUUCAAUCCCUGGUCCAGAAAGAUCCCACAUGCCAUGGAGCAACUAAGCCCCUGAGCCUCAACUACGGGGCCCAAGUGCCGCAACUACUGAAGCCCGUGCGCCUUGAGCCUGUGCUCCCCAGAAAGAGAAGCCAUUGCAAUGAGAAAUCCCUGCACCACAAUGAAGAGUAGCUGCUGCUGCUAAGUCACUUCAGUCGUGUCCGACUCUGUGCG
rnacentral:lncRNA from 1 species